GCAAGACGGUGUUGAAUGUUAGAAUUUUGUUGGCAUCGAUCACACUGUUUGGUCAUGUCGGGUACAUCCUGUAGCAUGGUGGGUUAGUAAUAUCUCUACCGAAGUACUUUGUAGGCCAGCGAUCUGUCCUCAGAUGAUUUUUGCAAAUCCUCUUGUGCACCUCUCAUAAGGCAUAGUCAGUCUUGGAGAGACGUAAACACUUGAGUGGUAGAGAAAAGGACCUCGUAUAUAACUUGCCUUCAUAGAGAAUGUAGCAGGAUGCCCGGUUUCUGAGUUUUUGGGCUUCUUUUGGAUCCGA
rnacentral:lncRNA from 1 species